rnacentral:rRNA from 1 species
UACGUAAGGACCGAGCGUUGUCCGGAAUCAUUGGGCGUAAAGGGUACGUAGGCGGUUAGAAAAGUUAGAAGUGAAAGGCUAUAGCUCAACUAUAGUAAGCUUUUAAAACUGUUUAACUUGAGAGAUGGAAGGGAAAGUGGAAUUCCUAGUGUAGCGGUGAAAUGCGCAGAUAUUAGGAGGAAUACCGGUGGCGAAAGCGGCUCUUUGGCUCGCAACUGACGCUGAGGCGCGAAAGCGUGGGGAGCAAACAGG